rnacentral:lncRNA from 1 species
GUUAAAUAUUCAACGUACAAUACUGAGGUCAGGUUAAAAAGCUGUAAAUGACAUAAUAUCGUACAAUGGUUUUAGCUGGUCAAUAAAUUUACAUUUUGGCACCCAGAUACAGUAUCAAGUAUUGUAUGAAUUAUGCUAUAAUAAUGUUAAAGUAUGUCUCAAUAAACUGAAAAAAAGUCCGGAGAUACUUAUUAUAAACUGAGAUUUAUUUCCUAUGUAAAAGUUUUUUUAAAUGCUUUUUUUUCUAACGUAUAUUUUUAGCUUAUUUUGGGUUUUUACCUAACUUGACCCACGUUCAAAAACUUGUCUUCUUGUAAUCAGCAUGGCGUAAUACAGGUAAUUACCGGGGUAUUGUAAAUGUGACAUAUUCGGGUAUUCUAACGGUCGACUUCCUGGCAGGCUUGUUUAAUUUAAUACACAAUGAACAAGGUCAAUGAAUCACAUGCGUGAUCGCGAGUGAACCAGGUGUGCACAGGUAAAAUUUAUAAAAUAUACCAUACCAAUAUAAAACUGUCCGUGAUAUACGGCCUGUGUACAAAAUCUAACAAUUUUUUUAAGAGUGAUUGUAAGAAUACGUAUAGAUUAUCCCACUGUUAUCUAAUUUCAAUUUUACUUUUAUUUAUAUAUAUUUCAGCACCUAUUCUUCCGUUUUUAUAUAUAAUUUUUAGUCCCGUUAUUUCAUACAAGUAAUUCGUCUAGUUUUUA